GCCCAAGAUCUGUUGGAAUCUGCUUCUACAGAAGACCAGCUGAAACAACUAGCUUCGUGGGACUGAGCAAUGGCUGAUUUCUUCAACUUUCAUUCACAGCUGACAAUUUUGGGGAAUACAAUGGACACAGAGUUCAAAGUGGAGAUUCGUAGAGUUAACUUUGCUAGGGGCUCAUCUGACAGGAAGCAGUAUGCCAGGCAAGACCAGCACAGUGAGAUGCCUUCCUCCAGCAGUUCUAUAUCUCUGGACAGAAUGCCCUCUGAAGUCUUGGUGAAGAUACUUUCUUACUUGGAUGUGGUGACCUUGGUGUGCAUCGGAUGUGUGAGCAGACGCUUUUAUCAUUUGGCGGGUGACAAUCUUAUUUGGGCCAGGAAGUAUUCAGCUGCAUUUACAUCAAUAAGAUCACAUUGGAACACUACUUCAGUGGAGGAAACAGCCAGGAGUGUGAACAUACUGUCAGUUUGGGAUAAAGAAGAUGGAUACUGGAAGAAAGAAUAUAUUACAAAGCAGAUCUCAUCUGUGCAAGCAGCCCUCACCCACAAUCUCGGUCCUGUCAACCACUGCACAGGUCUUCCUUGGAAAACCAAAGAGACCCUCAGAACAUCUGGCUUAGGUUGGACAGUUAUCUUAAGAGAGGCCAGUGGGAAAGAACACACCAUGAAGCACUCUGACCUUUCCUUAAAUGACACCUCUGUCACUGUUUUAUGGCAUGACAAAAAAUGGCCACAUUUAGACACAUUGUCCACCCUGGAAUUGUAUGGCACCAUACCAGUUUUUAUGGAGCAGUAUAAUGGCCCUGACACAAUUUGUCCACGAUGGCUGUCUUUAAUUGAAAAGUAUGAUUUGAGUAAUUUAAGCAAGACUACUAUGAUUGGCUGCGACAGACAUGUUCAGCUUUUCUGUGUAAAUCCUGGCCUCCUGGUGGGGCUGUGGCAGAAGAAUGGUGGAAUAGCUUUUAUCAUGGCAAAUCUUCAUUUCCAUUUCCUUGUGGAGAGAAGCACAUUGGGCUCAGACACUAUUCCCUAUGCAUUGCCUCCCUACACUGCAUUUGUGCAUGACGACCCAGAAGUGAUGAGCAUUUCUGGACACGAGGGCUAUCAGCUGCAUAUCGACAUUCAUGGCAGUAGGACUUACUUCCUGUGUAGCACCUUCUGCAAUCUCUUCUCCAGGAAAGCGGGCAUUGAGAAUGGAUAUGUGAAGUUCAUGGUGAUAAACUUAAAAAAUAACAGAGAACACCUACCUCUUGUUGGAAAAGUUGGCCUUGAAUGGAGUAGUGAUCUUUUAAAUGGCUGUAUUGAGAGUUGCCUUGUAGUGGAUAUGACCCUGCUGAAUGAGCAGGAGAAGCCCAUCUGGUGUGUGAGUUCUCCAGUGUGCCUGAGGUCUUCUAGCUGCCUCUUUGAUUUCCUGCAGCGAGCUUACUCUUUCGAGUACAUGGACACUGAAGGAGGAGUGCGUGCAGACCUGGGGUGGAUUGAAGAUAGUGAUGAAUACGUCAUUCUCAGCCUGGACUUUUACCUCAGUGUAGCAACAAUAAACCAUUGGUUUAAGAAGCAAUAAAUCUGAGUUAGCAGUAGGGAGUCUUGUUAUUAGUAAGCUGUUUGUUUUUUACAACUUUGUUUUUAUUGAAAGAAAGUUAAAAUAAAGCAUAUUU